rnacentral:rRNA from 1 species
GACGAACGCUGGCGGCGUGCCUAAUACAUGCAAGUCGAGCGAACAGAUGAGAAGCUUGCUUCUCUGAUGUUAGCGGCGGACGGGUGAGUAACACGUGGGUAACCUACCUAUAAGACUGGGAUAACUCCGGGAAACCGGGGCUAAUACCGGGUAAUAUUUUGAACCGCAUGGUGCAAUAGUGAAAGACGGUUUCGGCUGUCACUUAUAGAUGGACCCGCGCCGUAUUAGCUAGUUGGGAAGGUAACGGCUUACCAAGGCGACGAUACGUAGCCGACCGGAGAGGGUGAUCGGCCACACUGGAACUGAGACACGGUCCAGACUCCUGCGGGAGGCAGCAGUAGGGAAUCUUCCGCAAUGGGCGAAAGCCUGACGGAGCAACGCCGCGUGAGUGAUGAAGGUUUUCGGAUCGUAAAACUCUGUUGUUAGGGAAGAACAAAUUUGUUAGUAACUGAACAAGUCUUGACGGUACCUAACCAGAAAGCCACGGCUAACUACGUGCCAGCCGCCGCCGUAA